GUUUUAAGAAAUCUGUAAAACAUGUAUUUAUAUUAAAACUAAAAAUACAUAAAAUAGAGGUCAAUGCAGCCUGGAAUGUUGUGAUGAGAAUGUGAGUGUUAGCAUGAGUGUGCAAGGCGAGUAUGUGGGCCCACCCCAGCGCUCCUCCCCCGCCUACAUCUUGAUCUUUUUGAUCAGGUCGAACCCAACCCUCAGCCCUGGGAGGGACUGCCUAUGAUGAGAAAAAUCUCCCUCCUGCAAAGCCCCACUGCUUGGGCCCUAUGCAGUGAGGCCUUCCUUGAGGCAGCUGCAUCACCUGAGGCCUGCUUCGGUCCUGGCCUAGAGUUGGUUCCAAGGGGUGCGGUGCUCGGAUGUGAUGAAUUGAUCAGAUAAACGAGGCCCAGAGGUUCGCCUCCCAGGGUACUGAUUUAUCAAAGAGGUUUCUGAUCUGA